UCAAAAUAGCAAGUGAUUUUUAAAAAACAACAUGAAAACCAAGAGCCUUAAAGUAAACGCAUGGUGUAGAAGACAGGGUACCAUUUAUCUUUGGUGGAGAAGCUUCAGGGGAUGGGAAGAUUCCAUGUUUGAUCUGUGUAGGGAUUACGUGCAGAUUUUACUUGAUAGAAUGUCCAUCAGGUGAGCCCUGAUGACAGGAGGGGUACUUUUCUCUAAGGUACAUUUCAGUAAGAAGGAGUGCUUAGCAUAAAGAGAAAAACCCAGCUUUAUGUACAAACAAAGCCACUCCAAAGAAGAUGCAAUGCGUGAGAAGACCCUGUAUCCACCCAGAUAAAGAGCUAUAUGAGGUGGCGUGGCAUGAGUUUAACAAGACACGUCCAACCCUACAUGAAGAUGCACUGAAACCCCCCAAAGGCACAGAAGAGCCAUGAACACGUGCCACUUACCAUCUUUGACACAGGAGACACCCUUUCUCCCUGGG
rnacentral:lncRNA from 1 species